rnacentral:rRNA from 1 species
GACAGAGGGUGCAACCGUUGUUCGGAAUUACUGGGCGUAAAGCGAGUGUAGGCGGUCUUGAAAGUCGGAUGUGAAAGCCCUGGGCUCAACCCAGGAAGUGCAUUCGAUACUCCAAGGCUAGAGUACUGGAGAGGUGGGUGGAAUUCUCGGUGUAGAGGUGAAAUUCGUAGAUAUCGGGAGGAACACCGGUGGCGAAGGCGGCGACCUGGGUAGAUACUGACGCUGAGGUGCGAAAGCGUGGGGAGCAAACAGG